CCUAGGGUGUCUCCCUCAGCCUCAGUGGAUGCAAGCCAGCCACUCUAGAAGCUCAAGAUGGCAGACCAGACAACCCACCCCGUGUGGCCACAGUGGCCAGUGAAGUUACUGAGUGUCGGGAGCCAGCAGGAGUCCUCUUCCUCCACCCUGCGCCUGCCUCCUCCUUCCAACUCUCCCGGGCCUGGAGAGGGUCUGCCCUGCCUUCUCUCCCUGCAGCCAGGAUGAAAGCUGGAGCCUCUGCACGGUCCAAGCAGGGAGGCGAUGGCUCGCGUCACAGUCCAAGCAGCCAGGCGACGGUCCUGGCUGACGGGCUCUGGUGAGAAUGG
rnacentral:lncRNA from 1 species